UAUUAUUGAGCCUAAAACGUCCGUAGCCGGUUUUCUAAAUCCUUGGGUAAAUCGGGCAGCUUAACUGUCCGAAUUCCGGGGAGACUGGGAGACUUGGGACCGGGAGAGGUCAGAGGUACUUCUGGGGUAGGGGUAAAAUCCUGUAAUCCUGGAAGGACCACCGGUGGCGAAGGCGUCUGACUAGAACGGAUCCGACGGUGAGGGACGAAGCCCUGGGGCGCAAACGGGAUUAGAUACCCCGGUAGUCCAGGGUGUAAACGCUGCGGGCUUGGUGUUGGGGGUCCUUAGUGGGCGCCCAGUGCCGGAGAGAAGUUGUUAAGCCUGCUGCUUGGGGAGUAUGUCCGCAAGGAUGAAACUUAAAGGAAUUGGCGGGGGAGCACCGCAACGGGAGGAGCGUGCGGUUCAAUUGGAUUCAACGCCGAAAAACUCACCAGGAGCGACGGAUAUAUGAAGGUCAAGCCGAUGACUUUACCUGAUUUUCCGAGAGGUGGUGCAUGGCCGUCGUCAGUUCGUACCGUAAGGCGUUCUCUUAAGUGAGAUAACGAACGAGACCCUCACCAUUAAUUGCUAAUCCUUUCUCCGGAGGGGAUGCACAUUAAUGGGACCGCUGGCGCUAAGUCAGAGGAAGGAGAGGUCAACGGUAGGUCCGUAUGCCCCGAAUCUCCUGGGCAACACGCGCGCUACAAAGGACGGGACAAUGGGCUUCAACACCGAAAGGUGAAGACAAUCCUGAAACCCGUCCAUAGUUCGGAUUGGGGGCUGUAACUCGCCCCCAUGAAGCUGGAUUCCGUAGUAAUCGCUUGUCAACAUCAAGCGGUGAAUAUGCCCCUGCUCCUUGCACACACCGCCCGUCAAACCACCCGAGUUGGGUUUCAGUGAGGAUGUUUCUAAUUGG
rnacentral:rRNA from 1 species